CGCAGGGUGGAGCAGCUCGGUAGCUCGUCGGGCUCAUAACCCGAAGGUCGUCGGUUCAAAUCCGGCCCCCGCAACCA
rnacentral:tRNA from 1 species